rnacentral:rRNA from 1 species
GAUGAACGCUGGCGGCGUGCCUAAUACAUGCAAGUCGAGCGAACGGACGAGAAGCUUGCUUCUCUGAUGUUAGCGGCGGACGGGUGAGUAACACGUGGAUAACCUACCUAUAAGACUGGGAUAACUUCGGGAAACCGGAUCUAAUACCGGAUAAUAUUUUGAACCGCUUGGUUCAAAAGUGAAAGACGGUCUUGCUGUCACUUAUAGAUGUAUCCGCGCUGCAUUAGCUAGUUGGUAAGGUAACGGCUUACCAAGGCAACGAUGCAUAGCCGACCUGAGAGGGUGAUCGGCCACACUGGAACUGAGACACGGUCCAGAAUCCUACGGGAGGCAGCAGUAGGGAAUCUUCCGCAAUGGGCGAAAGCCUGACGGAGCAACGCCGCGUGAGUGAUGAAGGUCUUCGGAUCGUAAAACUCUGUUAUUAGGGAAGAACAUAUGUGUAAGUAACUGUGCACAGCUUGACGGUACCUAAUCAGAAAGCCACGGCUAACUACGUG